GGGAAGGUGGCUCAGAGGUAGAGUGCUUGCCUUGCAUGCAUGAGACCCUGGGUUCAAUUCCCCAGUGCCA
rnacentral:tRNA from 1 species